rnacentral:rRNA from 1 species
AUUGAACGCUGGCGGCAGGCCUAACACAUGCAAGUCGAGCGGAUGAAGGGAGCUUGCUCCUGGAUUCAGCGGCGGACGGGUGAGUAAUGCCUAGGAAUCUGCCUGGUAGUGGGGGAUAACGUCCGGAAACGGGCGCUAAUACCGCAUACGUCCUGAGGGAGAAAGUGGGGGAUCUUCGGACCUCACGCUAUCAGAUGAGCCUAGGUCGGAUUAGCUAGUUGGUGGGGUAAAGGCCUACCAAGGCGACGAUCCGUAACUGGUCUGAGAGGAUGAUCAGUCACACUGGAACUGAGACACGGUCCAGACCCCUACGGGAGGCAGCAGUGGGGAAUAUUGGACGAUGGGCGAAAGCCUGAUCCAGCCAUGCCGCGUGUGUGAAGAAGGUCUUCGGAUUGUAAAACUCGUUAAGUUGGGAGGAAGGGCAGUAAGUUAAUACCUUGCUGUAUUGACGUUACCAACAGAAUAAGCACCGGCUAACUUCGUG